GGCUCCGUAGUGCAGUGGUUAGCACAUCUGCUUUACACACAGAAGGUCCUGGGUUCGCGCCCCAGGUGGAGCCA
rnacentral:tRNA from 1 species